rnacentral:pre_miRNA from 1 species
AAUAAGCUAAUCUUUCAUUUUUUUACCUAUAAUGUUUAACUCUUCGUCUUAUUUAAAAUUUUUUAUGAUUAAAAUUUUUUAUUAGAUGAUAAAUUAUAAAUAGUAUUUUACGUAUGACUAAUUUUUUCUAAAUUUUUAGAAAAAUUUUCAAAUAAGACGGAUUGUCGAAUACUAGACACGUAAACCUAC